GACGAACGCUGGCGGCGUGCUUAACACAUGCAAGUCGUACGGUAAGGCCCUUUCGGGGGUCCACGAGUGGCGAACGGGUGAGUAACACGUGAGUAACCUGCCCACAACUUUGGGAUAACGCUAGGAAACUGGUGCUAAUACUGGAUAUGUGCUCCUGCUGCAUGGUGGGGGUUGGAAAGCUCCGGCGGUUGUGGAUGGACUCGCGGCCUAUCAGCUUGUUGGUGUGGUAGUGGCCUACCAAGGCGGCGACGGGUAGCCGGCCUGAGAGGGUGACCGGCCACAUUGGGACUGAGAUACGGCCCAGACUCCUACGGGAGGCAGCAGUGGGGAAUAUUGCACAAUGGGCGCAAGCCUGAUGCAGCAACGCCGCGUGCGGGAUGACGGCCUUCGGGUUGUAAACCGCUUUCAGCAGGGACGAAGCUUUUUGUGACGGUACCUGCAGAAGAAGCACCGGCUAACUACGUG
rnacentral:rRNA from 1 species